UACGGGGGGAGCAAGCGUUGUUCGGAUUUACUGGGCGUAAAGGGCGCGUAGGCGGCCUCCGCAAGUCAGUUGUGAAAUCUCCGAGCUUAACUCGGAAAGGUCAACUGAUACUGCGGGGCUAGAGUGCGGAAGGGGCAACUGGAAUUCUCGGUGUAGCGGUGAAAUGCGUAGAUAUCGAGAGGAACACCUGCGGCGAAGGCGGGUAGCUGGGCCGACACUGACGCUGAGGCGCGAAAGCCAGGGGAGCGAACGGG
rnacentral:rRNA from 1 species